rnacentral:tRNA from 1 species
GUGUCAUUAGAAAAGGGGAAAUACCACCCAACGGUAUUCCUCUUUGGUAAUUACACCUUGUAUGAAGAAGACACACU